GUAAAUGCUCUCAAUUCUUAUUCACAAAGAAUAAUGAAACAAUUACAGGAGUGAGUACAAAUGAGGGGGAGGCUCUCUAUUUAUAGUUGAGCUCCCCCAAAACCGACGGUCAAGAUACAAUUACAUCGACGGAUGAGAUUUAACCAUAUCCCUUAAUUUUAGGGAUUUACAAGAUAAGCCUUAUCAAAUCUAAUCUAAUCUUUACAAGAUAAGAUUCCCUCUAUCUCCUAAGAUCAGUUACCAUAUUUGCCUAAGUUGCCAUAUCUUCAUUAUCGGGCCAACCAGGAUUCAAUCUGACAGACUUGUCCAAUAUCUCUUUGAAUCGGGCCAGUUCUCGUAGGCCAAAUGAUCCCCAUCUGAGCAACAGACCUCCAUUAGAUGCAUUUGGUGCGCUGGUCACGGGCUUUGAACUGCGGCCCGUGACACUUGAACUAUCAAUAUGUGUUUUAUUAUGAUACAUGUUGUUAACACUAUUAGUGAAUUGCUAAACCAACCAAUGAAAAUUCAACACGUAAUUUUUUUUCAAAAAAAAAUUAAAUAAAACAAAAAAAUAAAUUAAAAAAAAACUAAACGUAUUAUUAACAAAAAAAAAAAGGAAGUAAAUCAUGUAGUUUGGUUUGGCACGCAUGACCAAAGCUGAGUUGAGGCUAUGGGGGUAUUUUGGUACAAUGACUAGUUCAAGGUCCAGUUCCUUCCCGGCGGUCAUUGAUGAUCACAAAUUAGUUAGUUUAAAAGAAGCAAAUCUCAUAGCAGCUACCUAACUCAAAAUCCCCCCUAAAUACUUCAAACCUUAUUUUCUACAUCAGUCAUUAUUAUUUAACCAAACUCGGUCUAGGUAUGGACCAAAAUUUCGGUAGAAUUAACAGCGAUAGCGUCUAAAGAUCGUCCCCCCAUGUACUUGUAGUGUACAUGUUAUUAGAUGGCGCCUCAUGUUCACCAACUCAAAAUACAUUAAGCAACAGUGCAGUUAAUUACUUGGACCAGCUCGUACUAUAAAUCCUGUUCACAUUUAACUUGGGGUUUAACUAGACUGCACUGUUUUUGUUUUCCCAAAGCCCCCACCAAGUUAUAUAUAUAUCAAAGUAAACCUCAGCCACAAUAAGUGAAAAGUGUGAGUAAAUGGGGAGGUCUCCUUGUUGUGAGAAAGGUCACACAUACAAAGGAUCAUGGACUAGAGAAGAAGAUGAGCGUUUGAUAGCUUACAUCCAAGCUCAUGGAGAGGGUUGUUGGAGAUCCCUUCCGAAAGCUGCUGGCCUUCUCCGUUGUGGUAAGAGUUGCCGGCUUCGAUGGAUUAACU
rnacentral:lncRNA from 1 species